rnacentral:rRNA from 1 species
AGGAUCAUUAUCAUGUAAAUUCAGUCAUGCUUGCUGCGUGAGNNNNUAAACCCACACUGCGUACACCUUUCCUGUUGNNNNNGCCGGGUCCGGACGAGAGAUCCGUGCCCGGCGGAAAAUAACCUCCAAGUCAUACCAUAGAAUCAGUCUGAGNAAACAAAGAAACCAAAUGAAAUGUUAAAACUUUCAGCAACGGAUCUCUUGGUUCUCGCAUCGAUGAAGAACGCAGCGAAAUGCGAUAAGUAGUGUGAAUUGCAGAAUUCAGUGAAUCAUCGAAUCUUUGAACGCACAUUGCGCCUCCCGGUACUCCGGGAGGCAUGCCUGUUCGAGAGUCAUUGACAACCACAUCGAAUCCCCCCGUUUUUGGGGGGAGAUCGGUUCUGGGGGAAGAGGGGGUGAGCUGCCUCGCUACGCUUGGCAAAUCCCCUCCCCUCCGAAAUUCAUAUGCGGUCUGUGCCAAACCCACAUGUUUAUAUGGGCGCGUUGUANAGGAGGCCCCUCACGAAUUUGGAGGAGCCACUUUUCGCGUGUGUAUGAUAAUGCUGGUUGG